rnacentral:rRNA from 1 species
GAUGAACGCUGGCGGCGUGCCUAAUACAUGCAAGUCGAGCGAACGGACGAGAAGCUUGCUUCUCUGAUGUUAGCGGCGGACGGGUGAGUAACACGUGGAUAACCUACCUAUAAGACUGGGAUAACUUCGGGAAACCGGAGCUAAUACCGGAUAAUAUUUUGAACCGCAUGGUUCAAAAGUGAAAGACGGUCUUGCUGUCACUUAUAGAUGGAUCCGCGCUGCAUUAGCUAGUUGGUAAGGUAACGGCUUACCAAGGCAACGAUGCAUAGCCGACCUGAGAGGGUGAUCGGCCACACUGGAACUGAGACACGGUCCAGACUCCUACGGGAGGCAGCAGUAGGGAAUCUUCCGCAAUGGGCGAAAGCCUGACGGAGCAACGCCGCGUGAGUGAUGAAGGUCUUCGGAUCGUAAAACUCUGUUAUUAGGGAAGAACAUAUGUGUAAGUAACUGUGCACAUCUUGACGGUACCUAAUCAGAAAGCCACGGCUAACUACGUGCCAGCAGCCGCGGUAAUACGUAGGUGGCAAGCGUUAUCCGGAAUUAUUGGGCGUAAAGCGCGCGUAGGCGGUUUUUUAAGUCUGAUGUGAAAGCCCACGGCUCAACCGUGGAGGGUCAUUGGAAACUGGAAAACUUGAGUGCAGAAGAGGAAAGUGGAAUUCCAUGUGUAGCGGUGAAAUGCGCAGAGAUAUGGAGGAACACCAGUGGCGAAGGCGACUUUCUGGUCUGUAACUGACGCUGAUGUGCGAAAGCGUGGGGAUCAAACAGGAUUAGAUACCCUGGUAGUCCACGCCGUAGACGAUGAGUGCUAAGUGUUAGGGGGUUUCCGCCCCUUAGUGCUGCAGCUAACGCAUUAAGCACUCCGCCUGGGGAGUACGACCGCAAGGUUGAAACUCAAAGGAAUUGACGGGGACCCGCACAAGCGGUGGAGCAUGUGGUUUAAUUCGAAGCAACGCGAAGAACCUUACCAAAUCUUGACAUCCUUUGACAACUCUAGAGAUAGAGCCUUCCCCUUCGGGGGACAAAGUGACAGGUGGUGCAUGGUUGUCGUCAGCUCGUGUCGUGAGAUGUUGGGUUAAGUCCCGCAACGAGCGCAACCCUUAAGCUUAGUUGCCAUCAUUAGGUUGGGCACUCUAAGUUGACUGCCGGUGACAAACCGGAGGAAGGUGGGGAUGACGUCAAAUCAUCAUGCCCCUUAUGAUUUGGGCUACACACGUGCUACAAUGGACAAUACAAAGGGCAGCGAAACCGCGAGGUCAAGCAAAUCCCAUAAAGUUGUUCUCAGUUCGGAUUGUAGUCUGCAACUCGACUACAUGAAGCUGGAAUCGCUAGUAAUCGUAGAUCAGCAUGCUACGGUGAAUACGUUCCCGGGUCU